CAAUUUGGGAAGCUGAGGUGGGAGGAUUGCUUAAGCCCAGGAGUUUGAGGCGGGAGUGAGCUGUGAUGGCACCACUGCACUCCAGCCUGGGUGACAGAGUGAGACCCCGUCUCUCCCUAUCCCCCGCAAAAAAAAAAAAACAACUCAGGGCUUUCCCACCCCUGUCCUUGCACAGAUGAAGAACCGAAGCUUCUAGAAGGGGUAUAUUUUGCCCCCAGGCCCCAAAUCCUGGUCUUUGGACUACAGUCAAGACCUAGCACAGGGCUCAGGCCUAAAAAAAAGCUGUUGAGGAGGGUGUGAGGCUGCAACGUUGCGGUGAGAAGGGGGUCCCCAGGGAGGGCGCAGCAGGAAGCCCCAGGGAAGUGCCUGGGAGAGGGAGGUUGUGCAGCCAGAAGGAGCAGCCCGCAGCCUUUGGUUGUUGACUCCUGCUUUGUAAGUGGCAGUCUGGUUGGGUAGGACAGGGAGCUCAGGACUGGCCUCACCUCGUGCCACGCCCUCGUACCAAGGUGGCUCAGAUGGCACCUGGGUUCCCGAAGGGCCCAGGAACACAGCGUCCAUGUCCCCAUCCUUCCCCGGAGGGACUUGGGGUGGGGCCUGCAGGAAGGAUCAUGUGACUUGUUCAAGGGCAGCUUGUCCUGCCCCGGACACAGAGGUGCCCAUCGUAAGCGAGAUGCAGGCAAGGUGAGGACAGGGCAUGGUGCCGAGCAGGAAUGAUUUUCGAAAAUGCUACUCUGUGGUCGGGCACGGUGGCUCACUCCUGUAAUCCCAGUACUUUGGGAGGCCCAGGCGGGCAGAUCAUGAGGUCAGGAGUUCAAGACCAGCCUGGCCAACAUGGUGAAACCCCUUCUCUACUGAAAAUACAAAAAACUACCCGGGCGUGGUGGUGGAUGCCUGUAAUCCCAGCUACUCAGGAGGCUGAGGCAGGAGAAUCGCUUGAACCCUGGAGGUGAAGGUUGCAAUGAGCCGAGAUUGCACCACUGCACUCCGACCUGGGCGACAGAGAAAGACUCCGUCUGAAAAACAAACAAACAAAACCCCGAGAUUCUCUUUUCCCCCGUCCGGAGCUCUAUGGCCAUCUGGAGCUCGUUCUGUCCACAAGGACACAUUUCCUGGCAGCAGCUGUGGACCAGGGCUCACUCACUCACAUCUGUACCCAAUCUAGAGCAGGACAAACACCUAUCACCUGCACUGGCAAUGGACAGAGGACAGUGGCAGCCCCAUCACCAGAGGCAUUCAAGCCAAGGCAUUUUCUAUCGUCUAUUUAUCUAUCUAUCUAUCUAUCUAUCUAUCUAUCUAUCUAUCUAUCUAGAUGAGAUCUUGCUAUGUUGCCCAGGUUGAACUCCUGGCCUCAAGCGAUCCUCCUGCUUCAGCCUCCCAAAGUGUUGGGAUUUCAGGUGUGAACCACUGUACCUGGCUGGAGUGCAGUGGCACUGUCAUAGCUCACUGCAGCCUCCACCUCCUGGGCUCAAGGAAUCCUCUUUCCUCAGCCUCCUGAGUAGCUGGGACCACAGGCAUGCACCAUCACACCCAGCUAAACCUUGAUUUUUUCCAUAGUAUAUGGCUCAGGGCAGAGCAAAGAAGCACAAAAACAUGUUGGCUUGCGGUUGAGGGCUGAUGGGAGGGGGUUCUGGCCAAAGCCCAAAAUUAACAGCCACAACGUCAGUGUCUGUGGGAGGGGUUGCCAGGGGCGUGCGGGUUCUGGGGCUCAAGGCCCUGCCGGUAAACCCAUUUGAAGCAGGAUGGCAAGAAGGUGACACCAUCUUCCCCCGCGCACUGAAAGCCCCUGGCUGGGAUUGCCUGGGGCAGACACAGGCUCGGACCAGCCCCAGCAAUCCCAGUUUAUCAGCGAGCCGGCUGAGGGCCCGGAGUUAUCUCAGUGCCCGGCCUGAGACCUUGUGGGCAGCCUGUGGUCAUGCUGGCAUUCCAGGGGCCUUUUGGCAUGUGGGGAAUGUCCAGGAAAAGCCUCAGCCUUCGGUGAGGCGCAGAAAAGGGAA
rnacentral:lncRNA from 10 species